rnacentral:tRNA from 1 species
AGCUCUGUGGUGUAGAUCACAUUGGAUUGCAAAUCCAGAGACGCAGAUUAAUAGUCUGCCGGGGCUU